rnacentral:rRNA from 1 species
GGCACCUCGAUGUCGGCUCAUCGCAUCCUGGGGCUGUAGUCGGUCCCAAGGGUUGGGCUGUUCGCCCAUUAAAGCGGUACGCGAGCUGGGUUCAGAACGUCGUGAGACAGUUCGGUCCCUAUCCGUCGUGGGCGUAGGAAAUUUGAGAGGAGCUGUCCUUAGUACGAGAGGACCGGGAUGGACAUACCUCUGGUGUACCAGUUGUCGUGCCAACGGCAUAGCUGGGUAGCUAUGUGUGGACGGGAUAAGUGCUGAAAGCAUCUAAGCAUGAAGCCCCCCUCAAGAUGAGAUUUCCCAACUUCGGUUAUAAGAUCCCUCAAAGAUGAUGAGGUUAAUAGGUUCGAGGUGGAAGCAUGGUGACAUGUGGAGCUGACGAAUACUAAUCGAUCGAAGACUUAAUCAA